CGACGCCGCGUGGGGGAUGAAUGCCUUCGGGUUGUAAACCCCUUUCACGAGGGAAGAAANUGACGGUACCUCGAGAANAAGCCCCNGGCNAAUACCUGCCNNCANCCGCGGUAAUACNUANGGGGCGAGCGUUGUCCGGAUUUNUUGGGCGUAAAGGGCUCGUAGGCGGCUUGGCAAGUCNGCCGUGAAAACCCCNGGCUCAACUCUGGGACGCCGGUCGAUACUGCCAUGGCUAGGGUCCGGUAGAGGGGAAUGGAAUUCCCGGAGUAGCGGUGAAAUGCGNAAAUAUCGGGAGGAACACCAGUAGCGAAGGCGGUUCCCUGGGCCGGUNCCGACGCUGAGGAGCGAAAGCGUGGGGAGCAAACAGGAUUAAAUACCCUGGUAGUCCACGCCGUAAACGUUGGGUACUAGGCGUGGCGUCUUAUCAACGGAUGCCGUGCUCGAAGCUAACGCGUUAAGUACCCCGCCUGGGGAGUACGGCCGCNAGGCUAAAACUCAAAUGAAUUG
rnacentral:rRNA from 1 species